GACAGAGGGGGCAAGCGUUGCUCGGAAUUACUGGGCGGAAAGGGCGCGUAGGCGGGAUGGCAAGUCGGUCGUGAAAUCCCUCGGCUCAACCGAGGAACGUCGAUCGAUACUGCUGUUCUUGAGGAUUGCAGAGGAGACUGGAAUUCCCGGUGUAGCGGUGAAAUGUGUAGAGAUCGGGAGGAACACCGGUGGCGAAGGCGGGUCUCUGGGCAAUUCCUGACGCUGAGGCGCGAAAGCGUGGGGAGCAAACGGG
rnacentral:rRNA from 1 species